rnacentral:lncRNA from 1 species
GUGCCCAAACCACUCGACCGGACGCUCCGGCCCCGUGGGCUGGACAGAGGCGGUCCUGGGCAGCUCCGGGGCCAGGAGGACGUGUGGAACGUGUGUGUGGGGAGGCACGCUGAGACUGUCCCUUGCACAAGCCUGGACACUCACUGCCACUUGAGGAACUCUAUAUUUGUCGCCUUCCUCAAACAAUAAGUUUAUCUGCUUUCGCAGGCUGAAUGCCAGGACUUACAACGGUGCCUGCAUACGGAAUGAGAGGCCCGAGGCCCAUCACACUCCCCAAAAGUUUGUGGGCCGGAGGCUUGGGGGGAAAAGCUGAACCACUAAGGUCAGACUAUGGCCUGCACAGGGGGGCCAUUCCAGCCGUGCUGAAGAGGACAGGACGGUGCGAGGUGAUGGACGGCUGCUCCAGGAUGCAUUCUGCAUGCUCUGAAGUCCACGGAAAUUCUACAGGGCCAGAGUGGCCCCAAGUACUGCUCACUGGCACUCUGGAGAGGAGGAGUGGAAUGAAAGAUGAGCUGAGCUUUAUGCUCAGUGAGUGGAAGAGCUAUUCUAGCACUGGAAGUGCUCACUGGCUCUGAGGAAGGGUGUUAUGGUUGAUACAUUGUGCCAAUUUGAGAAGUCUAGAAGGCUAAGUAAGCAACUGAGCAGGAGGCCAGGGCGCUUACUUUGUGUUCAUCCUGAGCCUGUGCAAGAGGAGGGCAUGGAGAUGAUGUGAGUGCUACACACCCGCUGGGUGGGGGUAGCUUGCCUAAAAUGUAAGGGAGGAAAAGAGGCUACUUGUCAAAGCUCCUGCUCUUGUGCUCUUGCUGCUUUUGCUAUCUUCCCCGGCCUUGAACUGUUGCCCUCUGCCAUGUGCCACCCUGCCUUGGAGCCAGCUGAGUAUGGACUUGAAACCUCCACAAACUGUGAGCUAAAUAAACCUUUCCUUUUUUAGUUUUGGGCAUUGGGUAUUUUGUCUCAGCAAC